rnacentral:misc_RNA from 1 species
AUCGAGUAAAACACAAUGAAUAUCUUCAAUUGUGAGGUGGAAUCGAUUGCGACGGCGGCAUUGUUAUCAGCAUUUUCCUCAAUAGGGAUCGGCGCGUCGACAGAUGAUCGUUGGGGGUCUUCAGCAACGGCAGGGCGUUUGUUCUUGCUUGGAACACAGCCUCCUCCUUUCCCCAUCCCGAAUAACCCAAUUCCGAGCAAGAAUUGGGAAUUCGCAAUUCGUAGCUGAGAGAAAAAGAAUUUGAUUGGGUAUUUGAGAGCUUCAGAUCCGGUGAUCGUAGAAAACUGGUCGUAUGGAAUC